ACGAAAAAUAACGAUACGGGACUCAUCCGAGGCCCCGUAAUCGGAAUGAGUACACUCUAAACCCUUUAACGAGGAUCAAUUGGAGGGCAAGUCUGGUGCCAGCAGCCGCGGUAAUUCCAGCUCCAAUAGCGUAUAUUAAAGUUGUUGCGGUUAAAAAGCUCGUAGUCGAAUUUGUGUCCCGCGCCGCCGGUUCAUCGCUCGCGGUGUUAACUGGCGUGUCCGCGGGACGUCCUGCCGGUGGGCUUAGCCUCUGCGGGCGGCCCAAUCUCAAUCCCACCGCGGUGCUCUUCACUGAGUGUCGAGGUGGGCCGGCACGUUUACUUUGAACAAAUUAGAGUGCUUAAAGCAGGCUAAAACAUCGCCUGAAUACUGUGUGCAUGGAAUAAUGGAAUAGGACCUCGGUUCUAUUUUGUUGGUUUUCGGAACCCCGAGGUAAUGAUUAAUAGGAACGGAUGGGGGCAUUCGUAUUGCGACGUUAGAGGUGAAAUUCUUGGAUCGUCGCAAGACGGACAGAAGCGAAAGCAUUUGCCAAAAACGCUUUCAUUGAUCAAGAACGAAAGUUAGAGGUUCGAAGGCGAUCAGAUACCGCCCUAGUUCUAACCAUAAACGAUGCCAGCUAGCGAUCCGCCGACGUUCCUCCGAUGACUCGGCGGGCAGCUUCCGGGAAACCAAAGCUUUUGGGUUCCGGGGGAAGUAUGGUUGCAAAGCUGAAACUUAAAGGAAUUGACGGAAGGGCACCACCAGGAGUGGAGCCUGCGGCUUAAUUUGACUCAACACGGGAAACCUCACCAGGCCCGGACACCGGAAGGAUUGACAGAUUGAGAGC
rnacentral:rRNA from 1 species